rnacentral:lncRNA from 1 species
GGUGUCGUAAACCACAGGUUGAGAGCCACUACUCUAGCUAAUAUUUGAGAGUCUUUAAUGAAGGAAUUAAGUUAAAAUGAGAUCAUGUGGUGAAUUCUAACCCAGUCUUAGUAGUGGACUUCUAGGAAGAGGAGACUUGGACACAGAUAUAUAUAAAGAGGCCAUGUGUUGACAUAAGGGAAGAUAGCAGCUUUAAACCCAGAAAAAAAGGCACUAGGACAAACAACUCCUUCUGGUAACCUGGUGCUAGAGUUUUAGAUUCUACAGUUAUGAGAAUUUUCUGUUGUUUAAACUCACUGAAGUGUUUGAUGCUGGAAAUGCCUGGGCAACCCACAGGAUCGAAGGGCACAGAAACUGAAUGGCAGAAUUAAAAUUCUGUUUUGUGGUAAAGACACCAUAAUUAGCCACUAAUAUACUACCACUUCUCAUCUAUGUUAAAUACCUGUACUUUGAAACACUGUAUGACAUGAGUUACGUAUUAACUCUGUUGAUUAAUCAGGAAUUGCUAAAAAAAAAAAAAAAAAAAUCCAUGUUCCUUUAAAUUCUUUGUAACUUUUUAUUCUAGUUAAACUACUCAAUCUAUUCAGAGUCUAAUCAUGAUACUUUAAAAAAAAAAACCUGUUCAAGUUAAACAUUAUUAAUAAAGCCAUGGUAGUAAGUCACAUUAUAUGAUAACAUGCUAAAACUGUCAUCACCCCUCCCAUUAAAGCUCAGAACAAAUACUGGUUUCAAGAAUGAUCCACAUUAUUAGAUAAUAGUAAAUCACCAACAAAAAUGUCUUCUCUGACGUUGUCCCAAGACAUUUCAACACACAGCAGGACCAUUAUGACUUUACCUGUAUUAUUUAGAGUAACAGGAUACAAAAUCUAAAGACAUACAAUGUGGUGGGAAUCUAUCAGAGAAGUCAUUCUGUAGAGUCAUAUUUACCAGCUAACUGAACAACAAUGAAACACUGAGUUGCAGAAGUCACAACAGGUCCUUCACUUUCUGUAAAUGUUUAAAGUGGGAACAAAUAAUGAUAUGAAUUCACUUUGGUCGUUUUUUUUUUUUUUUUUUUUUGAUUCAUGCUUAGUGCAAAGUUCCAGGGAUAAUUUGUAGUGAAGUGUAUACAUAGAUUAAUCAUAAAAAAGAAUCCGUUAUUGAUAGAAAAUGUACAUGCUACACAAUUGACUAUUAUAUCAGAAUGACCUGUAUACUCAUUUGCUCUACUUCAUACACCAGGGACUUGUCUCAGGAGCAGCCAUGGGUUCAAUUCUUAGCACCACACAAACUGGAUGUGGUAGCACACACCAAUAUUCCCAGAACUCAGGAGGUGAAUGUAGGAUUGGAAAGCCAAGGCCAUCCUGGGCUAUAUAAUGAGUAAGGCCCUCGACUGGAUUCUAUAUGAUAUGGUCACAAAAGGAUCCCCCCAAAAGAGAGGUGGGGAGUCCAACUUAAUUCAUCUGGCUCAGUGUUUCUCUCUAGGCCAGAACUAGGUUUUCAUAUCACAGAAAAAAAAAAGAAGAAGAAGAAGAAAAAACUGAUCCCUCAGGAUAAGAGUUGAAUGUAUCUGUGAAUUCAUCAGAUGUUCUGAUGGCAUGACUUGAUGUCAUGAUAGUCUUUUGUUCCAGCAGUGUAUCAAAAAUCUGCCUCCCCAAGUAUACUCACUCUUGAUGUCAAAGGCUAAAAAAGCAGAGAAUAACCAGCUGCUGCACAGAGCUCUCAGUGUCAGGCACAGGGGUUCUUAGAAAGUGUCAGGUAGCUUCUAAGACUAGAAACAUGCUACUUUCUUAACUAUCAGGGGCUAGUCUGCACCAAUCACAUGUGCACUUGCCAAUGGAGAGAUCUUUAUAGAUGGGCUUAACAAACAUUAGGCAACAAUUAGGUAAAGAUUAGGCCAGGUGAUAUGUGUUAGUCAAGAUCAGUAAGUAAGUAAGUAGAUAGAUAGAUAGAUAGAUAGAUAGAUAGAUAGAUAGAUAGAUAGAUAGGAUCGAUAGAUAAAUGCGACUUCUGUGCUAAUAGAGCCAUUAACAAGGAAAGCAAUCUAAAGCAUGCCCAAGGUAUCAAAGGAGUGCCUGGGAGAAGGAACAAUGAACUACAGAUGAGUCGUAGACAUUUAAAACCUAAGCCUGUACUUCCUUUUAAGUUAAAAAAAAAGUCAAAACAUGAUUUGUAUGAAAGAUAGUAUUAAUGAUUUAUUACAAAUAAAAAAUUACAAUGUAAAAUGUUAAAAUGAUACUGGUGCACUAGCAUUUGUUUUUGGUUUUUGGUUUUGGUUUUUCGAGACAGGGUUUCUCGGUAUAGCCCUGGCUGUUCUGGAACUCACUCUGUAGACCAGGCUGGCCUCGAACUCAGAAACCCACCUGCCUCUGCCUCCCGAGUGCUGGGAUUAAAGGCGUGCACCACCACACCUGGCCGUGCACUAGCAUUUUAAGUUGCAAGUAUUACCAUUGAAGUUGAGAAAGAAGCUACAGAUCCUUAGAGGACAAAAAUCGAAUAGAGCAUGUAAAAUAUUUCAAAGGUCACACAUUUUUUAUAAAACAAACAUUUGACUUAGAUGACAUAUGCUUGUGUUUGCAUCUGUAGUGUCCUGGGGUUCCCCUGCAUAUGUCUACACACCUGGUUUUAGGACACUCCUACAGAAUAAUUAAAUGUGAUACCACAGCUCCAAAUAGAGGAACAGAGUGACCCAGAAGAACCAGAAGAGCUGCCUGGAAAACUGGCCUUCACGGUACAGUUCCCACAAACUUAUUUAGCAUUACACUAGAAAGCUGAACUGUAAUUGAAAAGACACAUUAUACAGAUCCUGAAUCUUUGUACAAAAUUACACUGGACUAAGUGAUAAAAGUUUAUUUUUAUUAUUCUAGUUAAGGAAUAUCACAGGAAAAAAAAAACUUGCAUUCUAACCCUAACAUCCAAGCACUGGAAAUUAACAUACUCAUGCAACUCAAGGGGUAUCAUGAGAUUCUGAGGGAAAAAAAAUCAGACUAAGUGCUAUCCUACACAAGCUUAUACAUAGUUGAAAAUUUUUGUGAUGCUAAGUCAGUACAGAGCAGGUGUGAUUGGGCGCAGUUAGUACUUGGAGCAUAUGAAGACACCAACCAGCAGACCUGGGCUUCCCUGGCUCUGAUCUGCUGCCGAAUGAUCACAGGAAGAUCUUCUGAAACUAUUAAAUCAUGGUCUAAUUUCCCAUGCCCAAAUAAGUCUCUGACAGUUAAAAAUCCAGAUGUGUUGCAGCAACAUAUUUUAAAUACCAAAGUACUUAUCUGGGCCUCAUUCUCCCAAAAGUUUUAAUGAGAGUUUCUGGAAAUGAGAAAAUUAACUAGAUUCACUCAAACAAAAGGAACAAUUCAAAAUGCAAAUGGCUUCCUAUUCAAAACCACUGACAUUUUGGGAGUUUGCCAAUGAAAACAGUAAAGUAGAAAGAACAGAAAGAGAUCUGCUGAAAGUUGAGAAGAGCCACUGUGUCUUCUGACAUUGUGGAUUAACAGAGAGUAGCAUGUGCAUCAGAGCUCAGGCAGACUUAAAUGAAUAUCCACCACCAUAGCUUUAUGUGCUAUAACCUUCCUUGCUUCAAUUCCUGCAUCCUCAGUGGGUCAAUGAGUUUAACAGUGGAACUAGCAGGUAUAUGUACUGUAAAGUCAAACCUUUACUGAUGUUCACAAUGGAAAUACUCUGUUUUCCUGUUCCUCUUUCACAAAAUAAUUAGAUUCAGAUAAGAGAAAGAUACAGACAGCUCCUUCAGAGCUCACAUAGUGUCCAGGAAAGCUGGGAUAUUAUAAGCAACAAGCACGGAGGGCAGGGAAAGGCUAUCCUGACCCUGAGCAACUGAGUAGUCAGAGCUGUCUACAUCUACAGUGAUUCAGUCAGUUGUCAUACUGUCAUACUGUUUAAAUUUACAAGUCAUGUGUUCAUUAAAUUAUAAUAUGUUUACAUUCCCCCAAUAAACCCUUCUGAUAUCAAUAGACUAAGAAAAACAAACAAAAACAUUUAUCUCUUAAUAAAACAACAAGCAUCACACUUCAACAGAAAUGUUCUGUUCUCUUAGUCCAAAGCAAUCAUAUUCACACAGAACAGUCAACUCCUAAUAUCCGCAAAUUUUAACUUAAUAAUCACAGUAACAAGAAUAGUCAUAACCAUAAUAUUCAUAAUGACCAUGUACCUAUCAACAGUGAAAGCAAUACUAUGAAUACAGCACAGCAGAAGAGAAUCACACUAAAAAAAGUCACUCCUCCAAAGAGAAUGAUACACAAACAUGGGGAUGGGUGGCCAGAGUCCACAUGGCUGAGAUGCCUCCUUAGUCCUGAGGAGCUGGGACUAUAAACACCUGCACUGUCCUAGAUAUCUUUAUAUAUCUCAGAAAUGAUAUUCUUUUUAGAAAACAUUUUAAAUGGAAUCAUAAAACUCCCUAUAAUAAAAGUAAUUUGUCAGAUUAGAAAAUAUUAUUCCAAUAAAAUUAUAUAAUUUAAAAUAUAUUAACUAUCCUGAUUUUCACUAUCUUGCCACUGUAACAGCAAGUAAACAUUAUGUCUGUACCUCUUAGUCAAGAGGUUUUG